CUAGCCCUAAACGAUGUAGACUAGACGUCGGUGGUGUAAAAACUGUCGGUGUCCAAGCUAACGCGAUAAGUCUACCGCCUGAGGACUACGGCCGCAAGGUUAAAACUCAAAGGAAUUGACGGGUCCCCGCACAAGCAGCGGAGCGUGUGGUUUAAUUCGUUGCUACACGAAGAACCUUACCUGGGUUUGACAUAGCAGUGGUAGGGAAGAGAAAUCGGACCGACCCUUCGGGGAGCUGUUACAGGUGU
rnacentral:rRNA from 1 species